GAUGAACGCUGGCGGCGUGCCUAAUACAUGCAAGUCGAGCGAACAGAUAAGGAGCUUGCUCCUUUGACGUUAGCGGCGGACGGGUGAGUAACACGUGGGUAACCUACCUAUAAGACUGGGAUAACUUCGGGAAACCGGAGCUAAUACCGGAUAACAUUUGGAACCGCAUGGUUCUAAAGUGAAAGAUGGUUUUGCUAUCACUUAUAGAUGGACCCGCGCCGUAUUAGCUAGUUGGUAAGGUAACGGCUUACCAAGGCGACGAUACGUAGCCGACCUGAGAGGGGGAUCGGCCACACUGGAAUUGGGACACGGUCCAGACUCCUACGGGAGGCAGCAGUAGGGAAUCUUCCGCAAUGGGCGAAAGCCUGACGGAGCAACGCCGCGUGAGUGAUGAAGGGUUUCGGCUCGUAAAACUCUGUUAUUAGGGAAGAACAAACGUGUAAGUAACUGUGCACGUCUUGACGGUACCUAAUCAGAAAGCCACGGCUAACUACGUGCCAGCCGCCGCCGUAA
rnacentral:rRNA from 1 species